ensembl:lncRNA
GAAAGCACGGUGUAUGCGUGGUCAUGGCCUGAGCCCCAGGUUUCUCAGUUAUUCGCCAGCGUCUCGUUCGGAUUUUCCGCUCCACCUUAAGUGGCGCAGCAGUUACGCUGCAGCAUUUAAGGUGGAACGGAGGACUGGACGAGUAGAGGGCUACUUUGCUCCCGUUUUGGCCCCCAGCCUCUGCAAAUCACCCUCUUUGCCACGAAACCGCCUACAGCUAAUAACUAACCGGGACUUCAUUUCCCAUAAGUACUUGGGAAUUUCCCCCGUCAGAGGCAGCGCUGAAAAAAAAAACAGUUUGGGAAAGAAUCCAUGGAAUUUGUUUCCUGUGAAAGCUGGCCAUAGCCGAGCGCAGAGCGGCGCUGGGAUGGACGUGCUGGCUGGCGCUCACGGAGGAGACACGCAGGGCACCGUUUAAGGAGGCGUUUCGAGGGUUUGGGGGGUUUUUCUCAUUCUGAGGGGGACAGACAGCUGGAAGGGCCGGACCGAGGACAGAGUAAACGGAAUAAACCCCGGGGAUCCGGGGUCGCAGUCAUGGCUGAGCCCCUGCUGAAGCGCACCUUCUCCAGGCUCCGAGGAAAAGACAGGAGCCGCAGGAAAACAGACCCUAAACUCAACGAAGCAGCAGGGAAGACGGAUCUCGUCCAUGGUUCUUCAUCAUCGCCAUCGCCGUCCGCCUCGGCAGGCGGCACAGAGGCAGAUCAGUCUGUUGAGGCAGACUUCACAAGACACACGCAAAUUACCGUCUCCAAAAAGCAAAGCUGGGCCAAACUCUCCUCCACUGGUUCCCGGGACCAGGCCGGGCCGGAUCAGCUCUCCAGCCUCAGCCCUGUGGUUAUGGACCGGGACGGCUGCUCAGGCAAGGCCCAGGCUUCAAAACAGGCCUGGAGCCAGAGGACUUUCAGGGAGGACGGGUUGUUGGAGCGAGGGAAAGAUUUGGACAGGGAUUUGGGUUACUCCAGGGACAGAGACGAUGCAGGUUUACCUGAGUUAACCUCUGUGUCUGCGGACCUCUCCAUCCCCACCAAUAUUGCUAAGCUUUCCGGCCAGGGUGCCUACCUCCAACACCUGGAGAGAAGCAGCCGAGCCUGGGUACUCUCCACAGGAAAGUCCCAUGGUCCAGACGAGGCCUACCCGGCCUGCCUUACAGACUGGAGGCAUGCAGGCGAAGGAGAGAAUAACAUUUGGUACAACCCCAUCCCAGAGGAAGAGGACGCGCGGGCCUUUGGAGUCAAGGAGCGGGAGAGAUACAGAGAUCCGUGGAGGAGGAGAGAGAUGGAGGGAGCGCUGGAGGAGAGGAGAGGUGAGAAUUCUGCUGGCAUCCAGCAAAGCAGAGAAAUGCAGACAGGAAAGUGAGGAAAGUG